rnacentral:rRNA from 1 species
GACGAACGCUGGCGGCGUGCUUAACACAUGCAAGUCGAACGGAAAGGCCCCUUUGGGGGUACUCGAGUGGCGAACGGGUGAGUAACACGUGAGUAACCUGCCCUUGACUUCGGGAUAACUUCAGGAAACUGGGGCUAAUACCGGAUAGGAAUCCUUGCUGCAUGGUGGGGGUUGGAAAGCUUCGGCGGUUUUGGAUGGACUCGCGGCUUAUCAGCUUGUUGGUGGGGUAGUGGCUUACCAAGGCUUUGACGGGUAGCCGGCCUGAGAGGGCGACCGGCCACAUUGGACUGAGAUACGGCCCAGACUCCUACGGGAGGCAGCAGUGGGGAAUAUUGCACAAUGGGCGGAAGCCUGAUGCAGCAACGCCGCGGGCGGGAUGACGGCCUUCGGGUUGGAAACCGCUUUCAGCAGGGGCGAAGCUUGUGGUGACGGUACCUGCAGAAGAAGCACCGGCUAACUACGUG